AUUGAACGCUGGCGGCAGGCUUAACGCAUGCAAGUCGAGCGGAGUGAUGGUGCUUGCACUAUCACUUAGCGGCGGACGGGUGAGUAAUGCUUAGGAAUCUGCCUAUUAGUGGGGGACAACAUCUCGAAAGGGAUGCUAAUACCGCAUACGUCCUACGGGAGAAAGCAGGGGAUCACUUGUGACCUUGCGCUAAUAGAUGAGCCUAAGGCGGAUUAGCUAGGUGGUGGGGUAAAGGCCUACCGAGGCGACGAUCUGUAGCGGGUCUGAGAGGAUGAUGCGCCACACUAGGACUGAGACACGGCCCAGACUCCUACGGGAGGAAGCAGUGGGGAAUAUUGGACAAUGUGGGGAACCCUGAUCGAGGCAUGCCGCGUGUGUGAAGAAGGCCUUAUGGUUGUAAAGCACUUUAAGCGAGGAGGAGGCUCUUUUGGUUAAUACCCAAGAUGAGUGGACGUUACUCGCAGAAUAAGCACCGGCUAACUCUGUGCCAGCAGCCGCCGUAA
rnacentral:rRNA from 1 species